GACGAACGCUGGCGGUGUGCUUAACACAUGCAAGUCGAACGGUAAGGCCCUUUCGGGGGUACACGAGUGGCGAACGGGUGAGUAACACGUGAGUAACCUGCCCUCAUCUCUGGGAUAACAGUCGGAAACGGUUGCUAAUACUGGAUAUGAGCUUGCAAGGCAUCUUGUGGGUUGGAAAGAUUUUUUUGGUUGGGGAUGGACUCGCGGCCUAUCAGCUUGUUGGUGAGGUAGUGGCUCACCAAGGCUUCGACGGGUAGCCGGCCUGAGAGGGCGACCGGCCACAUUGGGACUGAGAUACGGCCCAAACUCCUACGGGAGGCAGCAGUGGGGAAUAUUGCACAAUGGACGGAAGUCUGAUGCAGCAACGCCGCGUGCGGGAUGACGGCCUUCGGGUUGUAAACCGCUUUCAAUUGCGACGAAGCUUUUUGUGACGGUAGCAGUAGAAGAAGCACCGGCUAACUACGUG
rnacentral:rRNA from 1 species